rnacentral:snoRNA from 1 species
ACCCCAGCUUCCUUUCCCAUUGUAUUCCAACACCGUCUUAGUAGCUGUAAGAAGGAAAAAAAGCAAUAAUCAAGUUGGCCAGGCCUGGCAAUGAUGUAACCUGAAAUCUGUUGGCAAAUUUCAAGCAGGU